rnacentral:rRNA from 1 species
GACGAACGCUGGCGGCACGCCUAACACAUGCAAGUCGAACGGACUUACAAGAGCUUGCUUUUUUAAGUUAGUGGCGGACGGGUGAGUAACACGUGAGCAACCUGCCUCUGAGAGGGGGAUAGCUUCUGGAAACGGAUGGUAAUACCCCAUAAAAUAUAAAUAUCGCAUGAUAGAUAUAUCAAAGAAAUUCGCUCAGAGAUGGGCUCGCGUCUGAUUAGAUAGUUGGUGAGGUAACGGCUCACCAAGUCGACGAUCAGUAGCCGGACUGAGAGGUUGAACGGAGACAUUGGGACUGAGACACGGCCCAGACUCCUACGGGAGGCAGCAGUGGGGAAUAUUGCACAAUGGAGGGAACUCUGAUGCAGCGAUGCCGCGUGGAGGAAGAAGGUUUUCGGAUUGUAAACUCCUUUUAUCAGGGACGAUAAUGACGGUACCUGAAGAAAAAGCUCCGGCUAACUACGUG